UACGUAGGGUGCAAGCGUUAAUCGGAAUUACUGGGCGUAAAGCGUGCGCAGGCGGUGAUGUAAGACAGUUGUGAAAUCCCCGGGCUCAACCUGGGAACUGCAUCUGUGACUGCAUCGCUGGAGUACGGUAGAGGGGGAUGGAAUUCCGCGUGUAGCAGUGAAAUGCGUAGAUAUCAAGUGGAACACCAGUGGCGAAGGCGAGUCUCUGGACAUUUCCUGACGCUGAGGCACGAAAGCCAGGGGAGCAAACGGG
rnacentral:rRNA from 1 species